rnacentral:lncRNA from 1 species
CCGAGCUGCUCGUGCAAGGGAAAGCCCAGUUUACUUAGGUGCUCAAUCAUUUCGAUCAUGUACAGUACAUGAUCAGUGACUGAGGCUCCAUCCCUCAUCCGAGCAUUAAAAAUGGCACAACUAGUUUUGUGCCUUUCAACGUCGUCAGGCGUGCUAAAGGAGUCGUUCAAUAUUUGAAGCAUCUCCUGUGGCUGGGCGU